GUACAUGAAUAGAAUAAUGGAACAGACGGUAGAAAAACACUUGCUUAGACCAUGAUUAUCCGGAGCUCUUAAGAGCGUUUCUUAGUUUAAUAAGAAUAAAAAAAAUGAAAAAUGGCAAUAAACAUAAGCUACGGCUCUUAAUUAAGGAACAUAAGCGACGUCUUUUGUGAGUUCUAUCUUCUCCCUUUUUCGAUUUCUCGAGCUUCAGAUUAACAAACAUGGCCACCACUGGAAACAAGAAUAUCAACGCCAAACUGAUAACAUUUUCAACACAAUUGCUAAGCUGGGAUUUACUGAGCCAACACCAAUACAAGCUCAGGGAUGGCCAAUGGCUUUAAAGGGUAGGGAUUUAAUUUGGCUAUUUCUCCACCUUCUCCGACUACAAGCAAUGUGUCAUCUCCUUCUCCUUGUGAUGUUAAAGUAGGUGAAGAACCUGUUUCUUUGACUAAGAGAAGAUUCAGGUCUAAGAAUAUUGAACCUAUACCUUUUUGGAAAAUGCAGGUGGUUCCUUUCAAUGGAAAAUUGGUUAAGGCCAAGAAGAGGUGCCAUUGGUGUGGAACCAGAGGAUGUGAGGAUUUGGUUAGCUGUUUGAGUUGUGGAAGAGAGUUCUUUUGUGUAGAUUGUAUCGAUAAAAGGUAUCUUGAGUUAUUAUGUUUGCUCUCGUGCUUAUCUUGUUUACAGAGAGCACUGAUCUUUCUCAUUAGAGUUUAGAAUCAUCAUCUAGAUUAGUAGUUCCAUCAUAGCAUAGUUAUAAUAAGAAGUAAUCCCAGUAGAUUCAAUUAGUUUUAUGGAGCUAGGAUGUAGAGACGAUUAAUCAUUCACCUAUGGUAAAAUGUUAGGAUACUCUUUCCUGCAAUUCUCAGCUGCAGUAACUUCAUUUGGGAUUGUUUCUGCAA